rnacentral:rRNA from 1 species
CAGUCGCCACGGGAAAACGGAGGGGGCUAGCGUUGUUCGGAAUUACUGGGCGUAAAGCGCACGUAGGCGGCUUGGUAAGUUAGAGGUGAAAGCCUGGAGCUCAACUCCAGAAUUGCCUUUAAGACUGCCGAGCUAGCAGGUGAGAGAGGUAAGUGGAAUUCCGAGUGUAGAGGUGAAAUUCGUAGAUAUUCGGAAGAACACCAGUGGCGAAGGCGGCUUACUGGCUCAUACUGGACGCUGAGGUGCGAAAGCGUGGGGAGCAAACAGGAUUAGAUACCCGCGUAGUCCCUGUCUCUUAUAC